UGGGGAAUAUUGGACAAUGGGGGCAACCCUGAUCCAGCCAUGCCGCGUGAGUGAUGAAGGCCUUCGGGUUGUAAACUGCUUUUGUACGGAACGAAACGGCGAGCUCUAAUACAGUUUGCUAAUGACGGUACCGUAAGAAUAAGCACCGGCUAACUACGUGCCAGCAGCCGCGGUAAUACGUAGGGUGCAAGCGUUAAUCGGAAUUACUGGGCGUAAAGCGUGCGCAGGCGGUUAUGUAAGACAGAUGUGAAAUCCCCGGGCUUAACCUGGGAACUGCAUUUGUGACUGCAUAGCUAGAGUACGGUAGAGGGGGAUGGAAUUCCGCGUGUAGCAGUGAAAUGCGUAGAUAUGCGGAGGAACACCGAUGGCGAAGGCAAUCCCCUGGACCUGUACUGACGCUCAUGCACGAAAGCGUGGGGAGCAAACAGGAUUAGAUACCCUGGUAGUCCACGCCCUAAACGAUGUCAACUGGUUGUUGGGUCUUCACUGACUCAGUAACGAAGCUAACGCGUGAAGUUGACCGCCUGGGGAGUACGGCCGCAAGGUUG
rnacentral:rRNA from 1 species